rnacentral:rRNA from 1 species
GAUGAACGCGUAGCGGCAGGUUAACACAUGCAAGUCGAGGGGCGAGCGAUAAAACGAUUGCUUGCAAUGUUUGAUGGCGACCGGCGCACGGGUGCGUAACGCGUAUGCAACCUACCUGUAACAGGGGGAUAACACUGAGAAAUUGGUACUAAUACCCCGUAACAUCAUUAAGGGCAUCCUUUUUGGUUGAAAGUUCCGGCGGUUUGAGAUGGACAUGCGUUGUAUUAGCUAAUUGGUGAGGUAACGGCUCUCCAAGGCGACGAUACAUAGGGGGACUGAGAGGUUAACCCCCACAUUGGUACUGAGACACGGACCAA